UUGAAGUAUAAAAUCGUAACAAGGUUUCCGUAGGUGAACCUGCGGAAGGAUCAUUACAGAAUGAAAAGUGCUUAACUGCAUUUUUUCUUACACAUGUGUUUUUCUUUUUUUGAAAACUUUGCUUUGGUAGGCCUUCUAUAUGGGGCCUGCCAGAGAUUAAACUCAACCAAAUUUUAUUUAAUGUCAACCGAUUAUUUAAUAGUCAAAACUUUCAACAACGGAUCUCUUGGUUCUCGCAUCGAUGAAGAACGCAGCGAAAUGCGAUAAGUAAUAUGAAUUGCAGAUAUUCGUGAAUCAUCGAAUCUUUGAACGCACAUUGCGCCCUUUGGUAUUCCAAAGGGCAUGCCUGUUUGAGCGUCAUUUCUCCCUCAAACCCUCGGGUUUGGUGUUGAGCGAUACGCUGGGUUUGCUUGAAAGAAAGGCGGAGUAUAAACUAAUGGAUAGGUUUUUUCCACUCAUUGGUACAAACUCCAAAACUUCUUCCAAAUUCGACCUCAAAUCAGGUAGGACUACCCGCUGAACUUAAGCAUAUCAUAA
rnacentral:rRNA from 1 species